GAUGAACGCUAGCGGCAGGCUUAACACAUGCAAGUCGAGGGGUAUAGUUCUUCGGAGCUAGAGACCGGCGCACGGGUGCGUAACGCGUAUGCAAUCUACCUUUUACAGAGGGAUAGCCCAGAGAAAUUUGGAUUAAUACCUCAUAGUAUGUGAGAAUCGCAUGGUUUUCACAUUAAAGUUCCAACGGUAAAAGAUGAGCAUGCGUCCCAUUAGCUAGAUGGUAAGGUAACGGCUUACCAUGGCUACGAUGGGUAGGGGUCCUGAGAGGGAGAUCCCCCACACUGGUACUGAGACACGGACCAGACUCCUACGGGAGGCAGCAGUGAGGAAUAUUGGACAAUGGGCGCAAGCCUGAUCCAGCCAUGCCGCGUGCAGGAUGACGGUCCUAUGGAUU
rnacentral:rRNA from 1 species